rnacentral:pre_miRNA from 1 species
UGUUAAAAUUUUCAUCUAUUUCUACUAUUAAAAACUAAGAUGGCUAGCCAAAUAAUCAAAUAGUUAUAUGUGGUGUGCCACAUGUACCUUGUUCCAACAUUCAAGGACCAAUGUUUAAUAGCAAAAAAUAGAUGAAACUUUUAAUA